CAGAGGUUGUCCGUUUGUUAGAGUCGCAGCUUGAAUUUCUAUGCGUGUGGUUAUCGUAACAAUUUAGAAAAAAAUGCUUUGAGUAGUUGAGUGAUUUGGCGCGAAUGUUUCUGUGAAAUAAUAGGAGGUGUUGUCAUUGCAAUUUAGAGGGAAGUUAUACAUUUUAACGUUUACUGCAGUUAUUGUCACAGCUUGAUGUCGUGAGAAACUCGAGAAUAUGAAUUUGUUGACAUAUGGAAUACUUUACAAUGAACCAAGAACGUUUUAGGUCACUGGUUUGAGCUGAAUGGGUUCUCUAAACGUGAGUCUGGGGAAAGACGGGAGAGCCUUGGUGUUUCAGUAAAAAUAUCUCUGAACAGAAUGUGCUUUUAGUAUCGAUGAAUUAAUUGCCUGGAGCAGUCUUAAGCUGGUUGACCUCUUUAACUUGAGUCUGUUGUUGCUUGUAGUGUGGACGCACUGAGGAGUUCUGAUGUACUCGAGUGUGUUCAUCGGGAUUUGCAGCAGACAGUUUCCGCAAUGAAUGCUACAGAGUCAGACUUUUAACAACAGUUUCAGAAACUGAUUUGUCAGUUUGGGUAUUAUUUUCGCGUCAUACUGUCGUAUGAGUGAAUGAUGUCAAAAACUAAGAACAGCGAGCCUCCUUUCGUGAAGUUUGUAAAAUCUAAUGAAUGUACUGAAUUCUUCACAAAAGCUUAUGAGGCUAUAGCAGAAUUUCAGUCUGAAGAGUACUUGAAGACUAUAGAUGAAACAGAAGUCCUGUGUUUAAAAGAAAAUGACAACUCUUUGUACAUCUGUGACCCCUUUGAUGGUGCUGCUUUUCUCCACUUAAA